rnacentral:rRNA from 1 species
GAUGAACGCUGGCGGCGUGCCUAAUACAUGCAAGUCGAGCGAACAGACGAGGAGCUUGCUCCUCUGACGUUAGCGGCGGACGGGUGAGUAACACGUGGAUAACCUACCUAUAAGACUGGGAUAACUUCGGGAAACCGGAGCUAAUACCGGAUAAUAUAUUGAACCGCAUGGUUCAAUAGUGAACGACGGUUUUGCUGUCACUUAUAGAUGGAUCCGCGCCGCAUUAGCUAGUUGGUAAGGUAACGGCUUACCAAGGCAACGAUGCGUAGCCGACCUGAAAGGGUGAUCGGCCACACUGGAACUGAGACACGGUCCAGACUCCUACGGGAGGCAGCAGUAGGGAAUCUUCCGCAAUGGGCGAAAGCCUGACGGAGCAACGCCGCGUGAGUGAUGAAGGUCUUCGGAUCGUAAAACUCUGUUAUUAGGGAAGAACAAAUGUGUAAGUAACUAUGCACGUCUUGACGGUACCUAAUCAGAAAGCCACGGCUAACUACGUG